AGGACGAACGCUGGCGGCGUGCUUAACACAUGCAAGUCGAGCGGAAAGGCCCUUCGGGGUACUCGAGCGGCGAACGGGUGAGUAACACGUGAGUAAUCUGCCCCUAGCUCUGGGAUAGCUCCGGGAAAACCGGGAUUAAUACCGGAUACGACCACUUUAGACAUCUGUUGUGGUGGAAAGAAUUUUGGCUAGGGAUGAGCUCGCGGCCUAUCAGCUUGUUGGUGGUGUAACGGACCACCAAGGCUUCGACGGGUAGCUGGUCUGAGAGGACGAUCAGCCACACUGGGACUGAGACACGGCCCAGACUCCUACGGGAGGCAGCAGUGGGGAAUCUUGCGCAAUGGGCGAAAGCCUGACGCAGCAACGCCGCGUGAGGGACGAAGGCCUUCUGGGUUGUAAACCUCUUUCAGCAGGGACGAUGAUGACGGUACCUGCAGAAGAAGCCCCGGCCAACUACGUGCCAGCAGCCGCGGU
rnacentral:rRNA from 1 species